CAGCAGCCGCGGUAACACGUAGGGUGCGAGCGUUAAUCGGAUUUACUGGGCGUAAAGCGUGCGCAGGCGGCCCGUUAAGACAGGUGUGAAAUCCCUGGGCUCAACCUAGGAAUUGCGCUUGUGACUGGCGGGCUCGAGUACGGUAGAGGGGGGUGGAAUUCCUGGUGUAGCAGUGAAAUGCGUAGAGAUCAGGAGGAACACCGAUGGCGAAGGCAGCCCCCUGGGCCUGUACUGACGCUCAUGCACGAAAGCGUGGGGAGCAAACAGGAUUAGAUACCCCUGUAGUCCCUGUCUCUUAUAC
rnacentral:rRNA from 1 species